UGGCAAGGCCAUAUCGCCCUGCAGCCCAAGACUGGUUGCCCACUGAAGCUAAGCAGGGUUGAGCCUGGUCAGUACCUGGGUGGGAGACCUCCUGGGAAAACUAGGUUGCUGCUGG
ensembl:rRNA 5S_rRNA 5S ribosomal RNA